AUUGAACGCUGGCGGCAUGCCUUACACAUGCAAGUCGAACGGCAGCGGGGGAGAAGCUUGCUUUUCCUGCCGGCGAGUGGCGAACGGGUGAGUAAUACAUCGGAACGUGCCCUGUAGUGGGGGAUAACUAGUCGAAAGAUUAGCUAAUACCGCAUACGACCUGAGGGUGAAAGUGGGGGACCGCAAGGCCUCAUGCUAUAGGAGCGGCCGAUGUCUGAUUAGCUAGUUGGUGGGGUAAAGGCCUACCAAGGCGACGAUAAGUAGCUGGUCUGGGAGGACGAGCAGCCACACUGGGACUGAGCCACGGCCCAGACUCCUACGGGAGGCAGCAGUGGGGAAUUUUGGACAAUGGGCGAAAGCCUGAUCCAGCAAUGCCGCGUGUGUGAAGAAGGCCUUCGGGUUGUAAAGCACUUUUGUCCGGAAAGAAAUGGCUCUGGUUAAUACCUGGGGUCGAUGACGGUACCGGAAGAAUAAGGACCGGCUAACUACGUGCCAGCCGCCGCGGUAAUAC
rnacentral:rRNA from 1 species